UACGUAGGGUGCAAGCGUUGUCCGGAAUUAUUGGGCGUAAAGAGCUCGUAGGCGGUCUGUCGCGUCGAAUGUGAAAACCCGGGGCUCAACCCCGGGCCUGCAUUCGAUACGGGCAGACUAGAGUUCGGUAGGGGAGUCUGGAAUUCCUGGUGUAGCGGUGAAAUGCGCAGAUAUCAGGAGGAACACCGGUGGCGAAGGCGGGACUCUGGGCCGAUACUGACGCUGAGGAGCGAAAGCUAGGGGAGCGAACAGG
rnacentral:rRNA from 1 species